rnacentral:rRNA from 1 species
AUUGAACGCUGGCGGCAGGCCUAACACAUGCAAGUCGAACGAGUGGCGGACGGGUGAGUAAUGUCUGGGAAACAGCCUGCUGGCGGGGGAUAACUACUGGAAACGGGAGGUAAUACCGCAUACCUUCGGAUGUGCACAGAUUGGAUUAGAUAGUAGGUGUGGUAAAGGCUCACCUAGGCGACGAUCCCUAGCUGGUCUGAGAGGAUGACCAGCCACACUGGAACUGAGACACGGUCCAGACUCCUACGGGAGGCAGCGGUGGGGAAUAUUGCACUAUGGGCGCAAGCCUGAUGCAGCCAUGCCGCGUGUAUGAAGAAGGCCUUCGGGUUGUAAAGUACUUUCAGCGGGGAGGCGUUACCCGCAGAAGAAGCACCGGCUAACUCCGUGCCAGCAGCCGCGGUAAUUC